CGCGGCCUAUCAGCUUGUUGGUGGGGUAAUGGCCCACCAAGGCGACGACGGGCAGCUGGUCUGAGAGGAUGGCCAGCCACAUUGGGACUGAGAUACGGCCCAGACUCCUACGGGAGGCAGCAGUGGGGAAUAUUGCGCAAUGGCCGCAAGGCUGACGCAGCGACGCCGCGUGUGGGAUGAAGGCCUUCGGGUUGUAAACCACUGUCAGGGGGGACGAACGCCCGGCCCCGAAUACGGGACGGGUCUGACGGUACCCCCAGAGGAAGCACCGGCUAACUCCGUGCCAGCAGCCGCGGUAAUACGGAGGGUGCGAGCGUUGUCCGGAAUCACUGGGCGUAAAGCGCGCGUAGGCGGUCGCUUAAGUCGCUUGUGAAAUCCCGGGGCUCAACCCCGGGGCUGCAGGCGAUACUGGGUGGCUGGAGCUCGGUAGAGGCGAGUGGAAUUCCCGGUGUAGCGGUGGAAUGCGUAGAUAUCGGGAAGAACACCAGUGGCGAAGGCGGCUCGCUGGGCCGGUGCUGACGCUGAGGCGCGAAAGCGUGGGGAGCAAACAGGAUUAGAUACCCUGGUAGUCCACGCCGUAAACGAUGGGCACUAGGCGUCGGGGGGAGCGACCCCUUCGGUGCCGCAGCUAACGCACUAAGUGCCCCGCCUGGGGAGUACGG
rnacentral:rRNA from 1 species